rnacentral:rRNA from 1 species
UACGAAGGGGGCUAGCGUUGCUCAGAAUCACUGGGCGUAAAGCGCACGUAGGCGGAUAUUUAAGUCGGUGGUGAAAUCCUGGAGCUCAACUCCAGAACUGCCUCCGAUACUGAAUGUCUUCGAGUCCGGGAGAGGUGAGUGGAACUGCGAGUGUAGAGGUGAAAUUCGCAGAUAUCGGGAGGAACACCAAUUGCGAAGGCAGCUCGCUGGGACGUCACUGACGCUGAGACGCGAAAGCGUGGGGAGCAAACAGG